GUAUCUCAACAUUAAUGCAUACGGUGGAUGCCUUGGUCGAAAGUACCGAUGAAGGACGUAUUAGGCUGCGAUAAGCUUCGGGGAGCUGCCAAAAAGCUUUGAUCCGAAGAUUUCCGAAUAGGAUAACUAAUCCAUUUAUUGGAUAUCCUGACAUGAAUUCAUAGUGUCAGGAAGGGUACAGCCCGAACUGAAACAUCUAAGUAAGGCUAGGAAAAGAAAUCAACAGAGAUUCCCCCAGUAGCGGCGAGCGAAAAGGGAGGAGCCCAAACCCCGCCUUUGGCGGGGGGUUGCGGGGUUUACGAUAUAGCAUCAGUCGAAGAUAGUUAAAGUCGCUGGAAAGCGACACCAAAGAAGGUGAUAGUCCUGUAAACGAAAUCUGAAACUGGCUUAGUAAAUACCCAAG
rnacentral:rRNA from 1 species